rnacentral:rRNA from 1 species
GAUGAACGCUGGCGGCGUGCCUAAUACAUGCAAGUCGAGCGAACGGACGAGAAGCUUGCUUUUCUGAUGUUAGCGGCGGACGGGUGAGUAACACGUGGAUAACCUACCUAUAAGACUGGGAUAACUUCGGGAAACCGGAGCUAAUACCGGAUAAUAUUUUGAACCGCAUGGUUCAUAAGUGAAAGACGGUCUUGCUGUCACUUAUAGAUGGAUCCGCGCUGCAUUAGCUAGUUGGCAAGGUAACGGCUUACCAAGGCAACGAUGCAUAGCCGACCUGAGAGGGUGAUCGGCCACACUGGAACUGAGACACGGUCCAGACUCCUACGGGAGGCAGCAGUAGGGAAUCUUCCGCAAUGGGCGAAAGCCUGACGGAGCAACGCCGCGUGAGUGAUGAAGGUCUUCGGAUCGUAAAACUCUGUUAUUAGGGAAGAACAUAUGUGUAAGUAACUGUGCACAUCUUGACGGUACCUAAUCAGAAAGCCACGGCUAACUACGUG